rnacentral:rRNA from 1 species
GACGAACGCUGGCGGCGUGCUUAACACAUGCAAGUCGAACGGUGAUGCGGAGCUUGCUCCGCGGAUCAGUGGCGAACGGGUGAGUAACACGUGAGUAACCUGCCCUGGACUCUGGGAUAAGCGUUGGAAACGACGUCUAAUACCGGAUAUGACUUCGGAACGCAUGUUCUGGAGUGGAAAGAAUUUCGGUCUGGGAUGGACUCGCGGCCUAUCAGCUUGUUGGUGGGGUGAUGGCCUACCAAGGCGACGACGGGUAGCCGGCCUGAGAGGGUGACCGGCCACACUGGGACUGAGACACGGCCCAGACUCCUACGGGAGGCAGCAGUGGGGAAUAUUGCACAAUGGGCGCAAGCCUGAUGCAGCAACGCCGCGUGCGGGAUGACGGCCUUCGGGUUGUAAACCUCUUUUGGCAGGGAAGAAGCGAAAGUGACGGUACCUGCAGAAAAAGCACCGGCUAACUACGUGCCAGCCGCCGCAGUAAUAC